rnacentral:rRNA from 1 species
AACGAACGCUGGCGGCAUGCCUAACACAUGCAAGUCGAACGAGACCUUCGGGCCUAGUGGCGCAGGGGUGCGUAACGCGGGGGGACCUGCCCUUAGGUUCGGAAUAACUCCCCGAAGGGGGUCCUAAUACCGGUUAAUGUCUUAGGACCAAAGAGUUAUCGCCGUUGGCUGGGGCCGCGUUAGAUUAGCCGGUUGGUAGGGUAAAAGCCUACCAAGGCGACGUUCCAUAGCUGGUCGGGGAGGAUGAUCAGCUAGGCUGGGGCUGCGACACGGCCCAGACUCCUACGGGAGGCAGCAGUGGAGAGUAUUGGACAAGGGGCGAAAGCCUAGUCCAGCAAUGCCGCGUGAGAGAUGAAGGCCUUAGUGUUGUAAAUCUCUUUUUCCCGGGAUGUUAAUGACAGUACCGGGAGAAUAAGCUCCGGCUAACUCCGUG